AUUGAACGCUGGCGGCAGGCCUAACACAUGCAAGUCGAGCGAGUGGCGGACGGGUGAGUAAUGUCUGGGAAACUGCCUGAUGGAGGGGGAUAACUACUGGAAACGGUAGCUAAUACCGCAUACCAUCAGAUGUACCCAGAUGGGAUUAGCUUGUUGGUGGGGUAACGGCUCACCAAGGCGACGAUCCCUAGCUGGUCUGAGAGGAUGACCAGCCACACUGGAACUGAGACACGGCCCAGACUCCGACGGGAGGCAGCAGUGGGGAAUAUUGCACAAUGGGCGCAAGCCUGAUGCAGCCAUGCCGCGUGUAUGAAGAAGGCCUUAGGGUUGUAAAGUACUUUCAGCGGGGAGGCGUUACCCGCAGAAGAAGCACCGGCUAACUCCGUGCCAGCAGCCGCGGUAAUUC
rnacentral:rRNA from 1 species